GAUUAAGCCAUGCAAGUGUUAGUACAUGCUUUCAAUACAGUGAAACUGCGAAUGGCUCAUUAAAUCAUAUGUGAUUUCUUAGAUCGUAACCCUGGACCUUCACGGGCGCCAGGGGAUGGAUAACUGUGGUAAUUCUAGAGCUAAUACAUGCAAUCAAGCCCUGACUCAUUCACGUGGGGACGGGCGCUCUUAUUAGACCAAGACCAACCUCUCUGUAGGGGGUCAAACCUCUGCGGGGAGUUCGUUGUGGUGACUCUGGAUAAGCUCAGUUGAUCGCACGGCCACGCGUCGGCGACGUAUCUUUCAAGCGUAUGACCUAUCACUUAGUCGGUAGGGUAUGUGCCUACCGAGAGUGUAACGGGUAGCGGGGAAUCAGGGUUCGAUUCCGGAGAGGGGGCCUGAGAAAUGGCCACCACAUCCAAGGAAGGCAGCAGGCGCGUAAAUUACCCACUCCCGACACGGGGAGGUAGUGACGAAAAAUAACAAUACGGGACUCUUUCGAGGCCCCGUAAUUGGAAUGAGCACAAAUUAAAUCCUUUAGCGAGGAUCUAUUGGAGGGCAAGUCUGGUGCCAGCAGCCGCGGUAAUUCCAGCUCCAAUAGCGUAUAUUAAAGUUGCUGCAGUUAAAAAGCUCGUAGUUGGAUCUCGGGUUAACGAUCGUUCGGUCCUGUCUCGCACAGGUUUACUGUUCGACUCGUCCCAACGGGUGGUAGACGUACGUUUCGGUUGUGGUUAGUAGCCCCCGGCGUGCGUCGUCGCCUUGAUCCCAGGUGCUGCUCGAGAGGGUAGUGCUGGUGCCCUUAACUGGGUGCCCAGGGCGGUCACUCCGUUUACCUUGAAAAAAUUAGAGUGUUCAAGGCAGGUUUCGCAGGCUCGAAUAUUUGGUGCAUGGAAUAAUGGAACAUGACUGCGGUCACCGUUCUGUUGGUCUCAGGUGUUGUGGUAAUGAUUAAGAGGGACUGCCGGGGGCAUUAGUAUGGCGGCGCGAGAGGUGAAAUUCUUGGACCGUCGCCAGACUAACAAGARCGAAAGUCAGAGGCUCGAAGACGAUCAGAUACCGUCGUAGUUCUGACCAUAAACGAUGCCAGCUAUAGACCGGAGGGAGUUGUUUGCUAUGACCCUUCCAGUCUGCCCCGGAAAACCUAUAAGCUUGUGGGUUCCGGGGGAAGUAUGGUUGCAAAGCUGAAACUUAAAGGAAUUGACGGAAGGGCACCACCAGGAGUGGAGCCUGCGGCUUAAUUUGACUCAACACGGGAAAACUCACCCGGCCCGGACACCGCUAGGAUUGACAGAUUGAAGGCUCUUUCUCGAUUCGGUGGAUGGUGGUGCAUGGCCGUUCUUAGUUGGUGGAGUGAUUUGUCUGGUUAAUUCCGAUAACGAACGAGACUCUGACCUAUUAAAUAGUUGGCCGGUCGGCCUCGUUGCUGGCUCGGCUUUAAACUUCUUAGAGGGACUGUUGGCGUUUAGCCAGACGAGAUUGAGCAAUAACAGGUCUGUGAUGCCCUUAGAUGUUCGGGGCCGCACGCGCGCUACACUGAGGAAGUCAGCGUGUAUUGCUCUCCUGGCCUGGAAAGGUUGGGCAAUCCGUUGAGCCUUCUUCGUGCUAGGGAUCGGGGCUUGCAAUUAUUCCCCGUGAACGAGGAAUUCCUAGUAUGCUCGAGUCAUCAGCUCGAGUAGAUUACGUCCCUGCCCUUUGUACACACCGCCCGUCGCUACUACCGAUUGGAUGGCUUAGUGAGGCCCUUGGAGAGGCGUUGCCUACUUACCUGCCCUCGUGGUGUGGUUGUGGGCGACUGCUUUCGAAGAAGGUCGAACUUGACUGUCUAGAGGAAGUAAAAGUCGUAACAAGGUUUCC
rnacentral:rRNA from 1 species